rnacentral:misc_RNA from 1 species
GAUGAAGAACGCAGCGAAAUGCGAUAAGUAAUGUGAAUUGCAGAAUUCAGUGAAUCAUCGAAUCUUUGAACGCACCUUGCGCCCUUUGGCUAUUCCGAAGGGCAUGCCUGUUUGAGUAUCAUGAACACCUCAACUCUCAUGGUUUGCCAUGAUGAGCUUGGACUUUGGGGGUCUUGCCGGCCUAUGGGUCGGCUCCUCUCAAAUUAAUCAGCUUGCCAGUGUUUGGUGGCAUCACAGGUGUGAUAACUAUCUACGCUUGUGGUUUUCCAUCAGGUAACCUUCAGUGAUGGAGGUUCGCUGGGGCUCAUAAAUGUCUCGCCUCAGUGAGGACAGCUUUUUUGAACGUUUGAUCUCAAAUCAGGUAGGACUACCCGCUGAACUUAAGCAUAUCAAUAAGCGGAGGA